AAGGAACCUUCAGAAUCAGAACAGGAUGCAGGGAGGCACCAGGUGGUAUGGGAGAACGGGGUGGGGUAGGGAACACUGGUCUGGGUAGAAAGCCCCAUAGAGCCCUUAUGAACUGAGCAAGUGAACAGAACACACGUCAUUUACUGCACAAGUCUUUAUUGAGCACUUAUUGUGUGCCAAGGACCUUGGAGGGCAUUUAAGGCGACAUCAAGCUAUAGUCCCAGAUUCAGACAAUAAGUGAUGCCAUACCCAGAAGAAGCCAAGUCAGCUCCAAAAGGCAAUGUGGAGCUAGCCUUUUUUUUUGGCCGCCCCAGAGGAUAUGGAGUUCCCAGGACAGCGCUCAGAUCCAAGUUGCAGCUGCGACAUUGGGAACAGCUACUUUUGUUUUUAAAUGGAGCUGGAGGCACCCAAGGACCUCCUAAUGGCUCCAGGGUGUAGACCACUUUCCCCAUCUCUCACUGCACAGACUGCUCUCUACCAGGCAGUCAAGAUCCCCAUUUAAAUGCUGUCCACCUCCCUGGACCCUCUAUGGCUCCCCAGGGUGGGGCUCACAGCACCCAGCCUGGAGCAGCAGCUCCAUCCACCUCCAAGGGAAUGAAUGCUCUGAUAUGAAGGCACCCAGAAGUUCCAACCGAAGCUUGGAAGAGGGCUGGUGAUGGAGACACAGAGCUCAGAGGCUGACAGGGGUCACGGUGCCACAGGGAAGGAUGCAAUCAUCAAAGGUGGUACCAGACGAGAGGCAACCAGGGAGGGUGGAGCUCACUCUGGGCGGGAAGAAAAGAUGGAGGAGGAGGUGGUAGAGGCAUCAGGCAGGUGCAGAGCCCUCAGAGGUGACCAAAGAGUGAAUGGAAAGGAGAGGUCAAACUGGAAGAAAGCCCCUGGGGGCUCUGUAAGGGAGAAGGUCAGUGGAGCAGACCCAAGGGAUGGGCGGCAGCUAGCGGAAGCUGCCACUUCCUCCUCUUAGGGAAGCUGGCUGGAUGGGAAGGCGAGGAUGUGGUAUUUAGAAUAAGAGAUUUCCACAUGCUGGGUGGAUAGAGGGGCAGGAAUGACUAAAGCAGCAGCAAGAGGCCAACGAAGUCAGAGAGCAGGGAUAGGUGGCCCGAAGAUCUGGUGAGUGAAGUUCACAGAGCUGAGCCCCGGGAAGAAUGCCAGGCUCCUGGUUAGGGCGUUGUAGUCUCUGCCUUCCCUGACCGUGGAAGACACCUUGGAAGAAGCUCCUGGGCACCGUCUCCCUGGGAGGUGGGCGGGACUGCUGGCCAAAGGUCAGGGCAGAGGCAGCUCCACUGAGGAAAUGGAGAAGGACCAGCGUGGAGGGGAAGGAACUGGGAGGAGCAGCCAGCUGUCCCCUUCUCCAGGCUGCUGGGCAUAGAGCUGGACCCACGAGCAGCCCUGAGGACCAGCUGCCCCACGGGCGAGGGGGGAGCAAGACAGGCUGCACCUGCAUGCGGAGCCUUGGGGAAGGAGAGAAAAUUGAGACACUGAUGGAGGUUGAUGCAAGGAACCGAGGCAACCCUCCCCUCCAUCAAACCGCCUGGGCCCACCAUCUAUAGAGGGUGACUGCCUUUCUGCACGUGCCAGGGAGGCUGGACUCAGCAGAGCUUCCUGGCUCUCAGAUCUGGAAUUCUCGCCCCGGGCUGAUUCCCCCGUGAGGCAAGACACGAGGCUUAUAAAAAGACGUCUGAGCGAUGGCUGUCAAGGGAGGGGAGUGUCUGGCUCCUUUGCUGUGUUUCUGUCUGCUGGGCUGGGCCGGGCUAGGAGCACUGAGUCAGCAUGCCCCCUCCCUGCCUGCUCCUCAAGCCCCCAGACACCUUUCCUGGGGGGUUCUGGAAGAUCCCCAAACCCUAGAAGAUUCUGUUCAGGUGGCCAUCAGCAAUAUGAAGCCGAGUCCCUGCUCUGACACCAGCCUGCAACUUCAUUCUGGCUUCUUGCAAUAAGUCAGCCACGCCUGGACAGAAAAAUCCUGUCAAGAGACCCUGGCAUCUGCAAUCAGCUUUCCGUUCCUGGGGGGCAGGAAGGGGUGCACAGAGGCAGCACCCAAGUAAGGGAAGCUGUGUGUUCCCAGAGGCACAGCCACGGGACCCGAUCACCCUGCCCGCCUCCUGGCACUGCCAGCAUGGCUCACCCAGGUUGUGCGGCAGCCCUGUGAUCGCUCCCCUGGACUCCAGGCCUCCUCCUCUGGGGGUGGCCCUUGUUUGCAAACAGCCAUGGGAAGUUUUGACGCUGCUAAUUAACCAGACUCCCACAGUUCUGGGUUGUUAGUCAUCAUGACAAGUCUCAACCUUCCACACGCCCUGCGACAUCACCAGCUCCCAGGUGAUGGGGAAGAAGGGACUAGGAGCUUAGUCAUUUCAGUUACUUCCGCUGUCAUCAUCACAGGGGACGGGGAGGACUGCCACCCAGCCCAAUCAAGCAGAACACACGGGGCCUGGAAUGCAGGGUGGAAUUUGAUCUAAAUUCGAGUUAGCCCGCUUCUGCGGAGGGAUUGCUCUGUGCCAAGCACCGGGCUAAACUCUUUCCCUGCAGGAUUGCCUUGGGUUUUACCUAAUCCUUACAACAAGGGUGGCGGGCGUGACAAUUCUCAUUUUACAGAUGGGGAAGCUAGGGUGCUGUUUUGCGUGGCCAGGCAGGGAAUGCGUAGGGGGCAGCUGCAGGAAGGUGGGGACCUCAGGCCAGGAGCUGUGUUCCUAACCACGGCGUGACCUGGGCAUUUGUCUUCCCCUCUCUGGGCCUCCUGUUCCUUCCCUGGGUAAGCGAGGAGGGUGGGCUGGUGACCUUUGCAGCACUAACGCCACGAGGGAGGGUGUGGGCCAGUUGGAAGGGAUGGGGGUGUGAUUCUGAGGUUCUGCACCCUGAGCUUCUGGUCCAAGGGAGGGGUGAUUACAGCUCCGGAUCUGGGGCUGUGGUUUCAUUAUGUACAGCCGCUUCACGAAUGAACGAAUGAAUGCCAGCAGAAGAAAGGAGAGGAGUGGUUGCCAGGGGCUGGGAUGGGGCUGGGGGCAGGGCAGGGGUGGGAAGUGACUGCUAAUGGAGUUUAUGGAGUUUCUUUUGAGGGCGCCGAAACAUUCUAAAAUUACAUGAUGGGAUGGUGGCAUGAUUCUGCAAAAAAAAAAAAAAAAA